GGGGAAUUUUCCGCAGUGGGCGCAUUCCUGACGGAACAAUACCGCAUGAGGGAAGACGGUUUUUGGGUUGUAAACCUCUUUUAUCGGGCAACAACAAAAUGACGGUUCCUGAUGAAUCAGAAUCGGAUAACUCCGGGCCCGAACCCGCGGUUAUAUGGAGGGAGCACCGCCCCUCCCGAAAUAUUGGGCGUUAAGCGUCCGCAGGUGGUGUUUCAAGGCUGCUGUCUAAGCCUGAAACUUAACUCCAUACCGGCUGAGGAAACUGGAAAACUAUAGUGCUCAUAGGGGUAACGGGAAUUCCCACUGUAGCGGGGAAAUGCCUACAGAUUGGCAAGAACACCCCCGGCAAAAGCGCGUUUCUGGGUCUGCGCUGACACUGUGGGACGAAAGCUAGGGGAGCGAAAGGGAUUAGAUACCCCCUUAGUC
rnacentral:rRNA from 1 species